ACCUGGGAGUUGUAGUUUGGUGUUGUAGUUUUAUAUAUAUAUAAAAGAUCCAUCCAGCUGUAUCGUGAUAGGAUUUUUAACCUUCUUGGCUGGUGCCACACCAAACUACAACUCCCAGGUCUCCGUUGCUAAAGUGGUAUCAAACCACAUCAAUUCUACAGGUGCAGAUGCCCCCCAAGAUGCCCUCCAUAUUUUCAAGUCCCAAUGAUAUAUAUACAUACAUACAUACACACACACACACACACACACAUACAUACAUGCUGUAUAUAAUAGAUCAGGGGUCCCCAAACUUUUUAAACAGGGGGCCAGUUCACAAUCCUUCGGACCGUUGGAGGGCCAGACUAUAGUUGGCCACUGAGCAAUUAAUAAUAAUAAUAAUAAUAAUAAUAAUAAUAAUAAUAAUAAUAAUAAUAAAUAACAACAGCAAUAAUAAUAAAAAGAGGGUUGGAAGAGACCCUUUGGGCCAUUGAGUCCAAUCCCCUUCCGCCUUUGUGUACCGAAAGCACAAGCAAAGCACCCCUGACAGAUGGCCACCCAGCCUCAAUGUUAAUAAUAAUAAUAAUAAUAAUAAUAAUAAUAAUAGUAAUAAUAGUAAUUAAUAAAGAGGGUUGGAAGAGACACCUUGGGUCAUUAAGUCCAACCCUCGUCUACCUCUGCACCAAAAGCACAAGCAAAGCACCCCUGAUGGAUGGCCACCCAGCCUCAAUGUUAAUAAUAAUAAUAAUAAUAAUAAUAAUAAUAAUAAUAAUAAUAGUAAUUAAUAAAGAGGGUUGGAAGAGACACCUUGGGUCAUUAAGUCCAACCCUCGUCUACCUCUGCACCAAAAGCACAAGCAAAGCACCCCUGACAGAUGGCCACCCAGCCUCAAUGUUAAUAAUAAUAAUAACAAUAGUAAUAGCAAUAAUAAUUUAAAAAGGGUUGGAAGAGACCCUUUGGGCCAUUGAGUCCAAUCCCCUUCUGCCUUUGUGUACCGAAAACACAAGCAAAGCACCCCUGACAGAUGGCCACCCAGCCUCAAUGUUAAUAAUAAUAAUUAAUAAAGAGGGUUGGAAGAGACACCUUGGGCCAUUAAGUCCAACCCUCGUCUGCCUCUGUGCACCAAAGGCACAAGCAAAGCACCCCUGACAGAUGGUCACCCAGCCUUAAUGUUAAUAAUAAUAAUAAAGGUUGGAAGAGAAGAAGAGACCUCUUGGGUCAUUUAGCCCAACCCCCUUCUGCCCUUGUGCUGUGGGGGCCGGAUGAAUGGCUUCGAUGGGCCGCAUCCGGCCCCCGGGCCUUAGUUUGGGGACCCCUGUAAUAGAUUUUUAUUGAGAGAAAAAAAUAUUUUGUAUACAUAAAAGUAGGGGAACAAUAUAGGUACAGAAAAGUAGGAAAGAAAGAGAAGAGAGAGAAAAGGAGAAAAAUUGGGGAAACCUUCCCAAUGAAACCGGAAUAUUAUCUUCUCGGCAUGUUUGAUUCGGAGUUAUUUGCAGAUCAAAAUACAGUAGAGUCUCACUUAUCCAACAUAAACGGGCUGGCAGAACGUUGGAUAAGCGAAUAUGUUGGAUAAUAAGGAGAGAUUAAGGAAAAGCCUAUCGAAGAUCAAAUUAGGUUAUGAUUUUACAAAUUAAGCAGCAAAACAUCAUGUUAUACAACAAAUUUGACAGAAAAAGUAGUUCAAUAUGCAGUGAUGCUACGUAGUAAUUACUGUAUUUACGAUUUUAGCACCAAAAUAUCACAAUGUAUUGAAAACAUUGACUACAAACAUUGAGCAACAGCAAAUAUAUAAAUCAAACCAAGCAGUUGAUAGGUUUUUCAAAGUUGCAAUAAAAGAGUCAAUAGGAAUCCAAAGAGUUCAUAAGUCAUGAAAAUCCAUUAGUCCAUAAAUCAUAGCAAUCUAAUAAUCCAUAAGGCAAGGCAGUAGUCAGUAGAUCCCAAAAACAAGGCCCAAAGGUACAAAGAUCCAGAAAAACUCCUCCUAAGCAUGAAACAAGAACAUCCACACAGAUGAAGCGAGGAUUUGCUUUGACAACGAGCUGUCUGCAAACACACACUUUUAAAAGCACCCAAGAAAGGCAUUUCUUUUCCCAGAACUGGCCUCUUUCCCGCUAGCCUCUCACUCCUACGGACCUGAGAACCUCUCCAUAACAGACGGUCCACCCUAGAUAAAUCAAGGUCUUCGUUACGUUGCACCUGAACCGGUACUUGAGAGCUCUCUUAGUCAUGAAGGACUUGAGACCUCUUUUGAUCAUUAAUUCCCAUGGGAAUGUCAUCCUGGCUGUUAUCUAUGGCUUCUGGGGUCAACAGUUCAUUCUGCUCAAACUGCAAUUCUCCAGCCUCUGAUUCAGCCUGCAUUCCCAUGCCAUCAUCUUCUGGCUCUUGUAUCUGAAACCCAGAAUCCCCUUCUUCAUCCUGACUCUGGCUAUACUGUGGCUGAGUCCCAACAGUAGGUCUUUCAUAUAUAAGAACAAUGCAAACCAACUCUGCGUAGGUUUGGAAAUCAAAGGAUCUGUAUUCGGGGCGUGUUCCAGAGAUAAUCUCUCCACGCCUGUCUUACACAUCCGUGGUGCAGUGCAUUGGCACACGGAGUUUCAUUCUUGGCAAGGAGAGCACAGGAAAGGUGGAAAUGUCUCCCCAAAGUGGGACUUCUUCUCUGGACCUCGCCUUCUGCCUCUUUGGAGGUGCCAUCACCCUUUGGAUGCUCCUGAACAUCUCCUGGGGCCUCUGGUUCAAGGUCCGGACCCACGUUCUCUCCGAGUUUCAGAAAGGAGUGGAUUUCUCCCAUUACGGCACCUGGGCAGUGGUCACCGGUGCAACAUCCGGCAUUGGAAAAGCUUAUGCCCAUGAGCUUGCCAAGAAAGGUCUCGAUAUAGUCCUGGUCAGUCGCUCCAUGGAAAAGCUGAAGCAAGCGGCUGCUGAAAUUGAGGAACUCUACGGCCGGAACACCAAAGUCAUCCAGGCGGAUUUCACCGGAGGCUCCGAAAUCUACAAAUCCAUCCAGGAAGCUUUGCAUGGCUUGGAAAUAGGCGUUUUGGUGAACAACGUUGGCAUAAGCCAGACGGUGCCAUUAGAGUUCCUGCGGACCCCCGAUAUCGAGAAGUACAUUAACGACUUGGUGAAUUGCAACAUCCUUUCAACCUUGAAGAUGACGGAAGCCAUCCUUCCUCAAAUGGUCACCAGGAAGAAGGGAAUCGUCAUCAACGUCUCCUCCGGAUCCGCCUGGAGACCCGUACCCUUUGCCGCGAUGUACAGCUCCAGCAAGGCCUUCAUAGAUUUCUUCUCCCGAGCGUUAAACGUGGAAUACAGGUCCAAAGGCAUCAUUGUACAGUGUGUCCUCCCAAUGUUUGUCGACACCAACAUGACCAGACUCUUAAGCUCCCAGCUCGUAAAGAUGUCUCCUGAGGUCUUUGUCCACAAAGCCUUGAACACGGUGGGAUUCACCAACAGAACCUCCGGGUGCCUCAACCACAGCUUGCAGCAUUCCGUGUGGGAUUUGUUCUUCCCAGAAUCACUGCUGGACACAUCAUAUGGAUACUCGAUAUAUCGGUCUGCACUAAAGUACCUUUUUAAAUAAUGUAAAUUCACCUUCUUCGUGAUUCUUGCGGAAAGAAGCUGGACCAGGACCAGGACCGUACAGAGCAAUUGGGUUGCCAUGUUUCAAGCCUAUGUAAUUAAAAUGAUGGUUGCAUCAUGAUUUAAUAAAAUCCCCAUUAUGAAUUA